rnacentral:misc_RNA from 1 species
CAACCCUCGAGCCCCCAGCGGGCUCGGUGUUGGGGACCGGCCCCGGCCGCCCCCGAAAUGCAGUGGCGACCCCGCCGCAGCCUCCCCUGCGUAGUAGCACAACCUCGCACCGGAGCGCGGAGACGGUCACGCCGUAAAACGCCCAACUUCUCAGAG